GGAUCCAUCAUGUCUAAGUAUAAGCAAUUUAUACGGUGAAACUGCGAAUGGCUCAUUAAAUCAGUUAUCGUUUAUUUGAUAGUACCUUACUACAUGGAUACCUGUGGUAAUUCUAGAGCUAAUACAUGCUAAAAACCUCGACUUCGGAAGGGGUGUAUUUAUUAGAUAAAAAACCAAUGCCCUUCGGGGCUCCUUGGUGAAUCAUAAUAACUUAACGAAUCGCAUGGCCUUGCGCCGGCGAUGGUUCAUUCAAAUUUCUGCCCUAUCAACUUUCGAUGGUAGGAUAGUGGCCUACCAUGGUGGCAACGGGUAACGGGGAAUUAGGGUUCGAUYCCGGAGAGGGAGCCUGAGAAACGGCUACCACAUCCAAGGAAGGCAGCAGGCGCGCAAAUUACCCAAUCCCGACACGGGGAGGUAGUGACAAUAAAUACUGAUACGGGGCUCUUUUGGGUCUCGUAAUUGGAAUGAGUACAAUCUAAAUCCCUUAACGAGGAACAAUUGGAGGGCAAGUCUGGUGCCAGCAGCCGCGGUAAUUCCAGCUCCAAUAGCGUAUAUUAAAGUUGUUGCAGUUAAAAAGCUCGUAGUUGAACCUUGGGUCUGGCUGGCCGGUCCGCCUCACCGCGAGUACUGGUCCGGCUGGACCUUUCCUUCUGGGGAACCUCAUGGCCUUCACUGGCUGUGGGGGGAACCAGGACUUUUACUGUGAAAAAAUUAGAGUGUUCAAAGCAGGCCUUUGCUCGAAUACAUUAGCAUGGAAUAAUAGAAUAGGACGUGCGGUUCUAUUUUGUUGGUUUCUAGGACCGCCGUAAUGAUUAAUAGGGAUAGUCGGGGGCGUCAGUAUUCAGCUGUCAGAGGUGAAAUUCUUGGAUUUGCUGAAGACUAACUACUGCGAAAGCAUUCGCCAAGGAUGUUUUCAUUAAUCAGGGAACGAAAGUUAGGGGAUCGAAGACGAUCAGAUACCGUCGUAGUCUUAACCAUAAACUAUGCCGACUAGGGGAUCGGGCGGUGUUUCUAUGAUGACCCGCUCGGCCACCUUACGAGAAAUCAAAGUUUUUGGGUUCUGGGGGGGAGUAUGUCGCAAGGCUGAACUUAAAGAAAUUGACGGGAAGGGCACCACARGGCGUGGGAGCCCUGCGSCUUAAUUUGACUCAACACGGGGAAACUCACCAGGUCCAGACAAAAUAAGGAUUGACAGAUUGAGAGCUCUUUCUUGAUCUUUUGGAUGGUGGUGCAUGGCCGUUCUUAGUUGGUGGAGUGAUUUGUCUGCUUAAUUGCGAUAACGAACGAGACCUCGGCCCUUAAAUAGCCCGGUCCGCAUUUGCGGGCCGCUGGCUUCUUAGGGGGACUAUCGCUCAGCCGAGAUUCAA
rnacentral:rRNA from 1 species